rnacentral:rRNA from 1 species
UACGUAGGGACCAAGCGUUGUUCGGAUUUACUGGGCGUAAAGGGCGCGUAGGCGGCUUAACAAGUCACUUGUGAAAUCUCCAGGCUUAACUCGGAACGGCCAAGUGAAACUGUUAUGCUAGAGUGCGGAAGGGGCAAUCGGAAUUCUUGGUGUAGCGGUGAAAUGCGUAGAUAUCAAGAGGAACACCUGAGGUGAAGACGGGUUGCUGGGCCGACACUGACGCUGAUGCGCGAAAGCCAGGGGAGCAAACGGG